UGGGGAAUAUUGCACAAUGGGGGAAACCCUGAUGCAGCGACGCCGCGUGAAGGAAGAAGUAUCUCGGUAUGUAAACUUCUAUCAGCAGGGAAGAUAAUGACGGUACCUGACUAAGAAGCCCCGGCUAACUACGUGCCAGCAGCCGCGGUAAUACGGAGGAUCCGAGCGUUAUCCGGAUUUAUUGGGUUUAAAGGGAGCGUAGAUGGAUGUUUAAGUCAGUUGUGAAAGUUUGCGGCUCAACCGUAAAAUUGCAGUUGAUACUGGAUAUCUUGAGUGCAGUUGAGGCAGGCGGAAUUCGUGGUGUAGCGGUGAAAUGCUUAGAUAUCACGAAGAACUCCGAUUGCGAAGGCAGCCUGCUAAGCUGCAACUGACAUUGAGGCUCGAAAGUGUGGGUAUCAAACAGGAUUAGAUACCCUGGUAGUCCACACGGUAAACGAUGAAUACUCGCUGUUUGCGAUAUACUGCAAGCGGCCAAGCGAAAGCGUUAAGUAUUCCACCUGGGGAGUACGCCGGCAACGGUGAAACUCAAAGGAAUUGACGGGGGCCCGCACAAGCGGAGGAACAUGUGGUUUAAUUCGAUGAUACGCGAGGAACCUUACCCGGGCUUGAAUUGCAACUGAAUGAUGUGGAGACAUGUCAGCCGCAAGGCAGUUGUGAAGGUGCUGCAUGGUUGUCGUCAGCUCGUGCCGUGAGGUGUCGGCUUAAGUGCCAUAACGAGCGCAACCCUUAUCGAUAGUUACCAUCAGGUUAUGCUGGGGACUCUGUCGAGACUGCCGUCGUAAGAUGUGAGGAAGGUGGGGAUGACGUCAAAUCAGCACGGCCCUUACGUCCGGGGCUACACACGUGUUACAAUGGGGGGUACAGAAGGCAGCUACACGGCGACGUGAUGCUAAUCCCUAAAGCCUCUCUCAGUUCGGAUUGGAGUCUGCAACCCGACUUCGUGAAGCUGGAUUCGCUAGUAAUCGCGCAUCAGCCAUGGCGCGGUGAAUACGUUCCC
rnacentral:rRNA from 1 species